rnacentral:rRNA from 1 species
UACGUAGGGCGCAAGCGUUGUCCGGAAUUAUUGGGCGUAAAGAGCUCGUAGGCGGUUUGUCACGUCGGAUGUGAAAGCCCGGGGCUUAACCCCGGGUCUGCAUUCGAUACGGGCAGACUGGAGUGUGGUAGGGGAGAUCGGAAUUCCUGGUGUAGCGGUGAAAUGCGCAGAUAUCAGGAGGAACACCGGUGGCGAAGGCGGCUCUCUGGGACGGUACUGACGCUGAGACGCGAAAGCGUGGGGAGCGAACAGG